rnacentral:lncRNA from 10 species
CAGCAAUAAAAAAGGAUGACGUCAUGUCCUUUGAAACAACAUGGAUGUAGCUGGAGGCCAUUAUCCUAAGUGAAUUAAUACAGAAACAAAAAAACAAAUGCCACAUGUUUUCACUUAAAAGUGGGAGCCAAAUACUGGAUACAGAUGAACACAAAGAUGGGAAUGAUAAAUACUGAGGAUUCCAAAAGAGGAGGAAUGAGGAAGGGGGACAAGGAUUGAAAAACUACCUGUUGGGUACUAUGUUCACUAUUUGGGCCAUGAGAUCAUUAGAAGUCAAAACCUCAGCAUCACACAAUAUACCCAAGGAUCACCAGAAUUCAUCAGGACAAGAUAUCCUCAGUAUAUAAAGACAUGAUUCAAUACAUUGAGAUACACGACACAAGGGACUUCACACAAAUUUCUGCAUUUCACAAGAUUUUUUCUUCUCUACUAUCCAUAUUCUUCCAGUGUUGUGGAACAUGUUCAUAUUACUAUAGAACAUCUUUCUCUGCUCCUUCUUGCCACCAUGCCAGGUGAGUUGGC